rnacentral:rRNA from 1 species
UACGUAGGGGGCAAGCGUUGUCCGGAUUUACUGGGCGUAAAGGGCGCGUAGGCGGCGUGACAAGUCACUUGUGAAAUCUCCGGGCUUAACUCGGAACGGUCAAGUGAUACUGUCGUGCUAGAGUACAGAAGGGGCAACUGGAAUUCUCGGUGUAGCGGUGAAAUGCGUAGAUAUCGAGAGGAACACCUGCGGCGAAGGCGGGUUGCUGGGCUGAUACUGACGCUGAGGCGCGAAAGCUAGGGGAGCGAACGGG